AGUCGAACGAUGAAAGCUGGAGCUUGCUCUAGCUGGAUUAGUGGCGAACGGGUGAGUAACACGUGAGCAAUCUGCCCUGGACUCUGGGAUAACCCCGAGAAAUCGGAGCUAAUACCGGAUACGACACCUCCCGGCAUCGGGUGGGUGUGGAAAGAAUUUCGGUCCAGGAUGAGCUCGCGGCCUAUCAGCUUGUUGGUGAGGUAACGGCUCACCAAGGCGACGACGGGUAGCCGGCCUGAGAGGGUGACCGGCCACACUGGGACUGAGACACGGCCCAGACUCCUACGGGAGGCAGCAGUGGGGAAUAUUGCACAUUGGGCGCAAGCCUGAUGCAGCAACGCCGCGUGGGGGACGAAGGCCUUCGGGUUGUAAACCUCUUUUAGUAGGGAAGAAGCGCAAGUGACGGUACCUACAGAAAAAGCACCGGCUAACUACGUGCCAGCAGCCGCGGUAAUACGUAGGGUGCAAGCGUUGUCCGGAAUUAUUGGGCGUAAAGAGCUCGUAGGCGGUUUGUCGCGUCUGCUGUGAAAAUCCGAGGCUCAACCUCGGACCUGCAGUGGGUACGGGCAAACUAGAGUGCGGUAGGGGAGAUUGGAAUUCCUGGUGUAGCGGUGGAAUGCGCAGAUAUCAGGAGGAACACCAAUGGCGAAGGCAGAUCUCUGGGCCGUAACUGACGCUGAGGAGCGAAAGCGUGGGGAGCGAACAGGAUUAGAUACCCUGGUAGAAGGGC
rnacentral:rRNA from 1 species